GAGUUUGAUCGUGGCUCAGGAUGAACGCUAGCUACAGGCUUAACACAUGCAAGUCGAGGGGCAGCAUUUUAGUUUGCUUGCAAACUAAAGAUGGCGACCGGCGCACGGGUGAGUAACGCGUAUGCAACUUGCCUAUCAGAGGGGGAUAACCCGGCGAAAGUCGGACUAAUACCGCAUGAAGCAGGGGCCCCGCAUGGGGAUAUUUGCUAAAGAUUCAUCGCUGAUAGAUAGGCAUGCGUUCCAUUAGGCAGUUGGCGGGUAACGGCCCACCAAACCG
rnacentral:rRNA from 1 species